rnacentral:sRNA from 1 species
GGGAUUGUGGCGGUCCUCUCUCCCAAUUCGGAAGCUACAGCUACCUCCGGACGCUCUCAAGAUGGCGACCUCUCUGGGUUCCAACACCUACAACAGGCAGAACUGGGAGGAUGCGGACUUCCCCAUUCUGUGCCAGACAUGUCUUGGAGAAAACCCAUAUAUCCGAAUGACCAAAGAAAAGUAUGGGAAGGAAUGCAAAAUCUGUGCCAGGCCAUUCACAGUGUUUCGCUGGUGCCCUGGAGUCCGCAUGCGUUUCAAGAAGACUGAAGUGUGCCAAACCUGCAGUAAAUUGAAGAAUGUCUGUCAGACCUGCCUCUUAGACCUAGAGUAUGGCCUGCCCAUCCAGGUUCGUGACGCAGGAUUGUCUUUUAAAGACGACAUGCCAAAGUCAGAUGUCAACAAAGAGUACUAUACACAGAAUAUGGAGAGAGAGAUUUCUAACUCUGAUGGAACACGGCCAGUUGGCAUGCUGGGGAAAGCCACAUCUACCAGUGACAUGCUGCUCAAACUGGCCCGGACCACACCCUACUACAAAAGGAAUCGACCCCACAUUUGCUCCUUCUGGGUGAAAGGAGAGUGUAAGAGAGGAGAGGAAUGUCCAUACAGACAUGAGAAGCCUACAGAUCCAGAUGACCCCCUUGCUGAUCAGAAUAUUAAAGAUCGUUAUUACGGAAUCAAUGAUCCUGUGGCUGACAAGCUUCUAAAGCGGGCUUCAACAAUGCCUCGGCUGGACCCACCAGAGGAUAAAACUAUCACCACACUAUAUGUUGGUGGUCUAGGUGAUACCAUUACUGAGACAGAUUUAAGGUUUGUGGGUAUAAGUUAGAGAGUUAUUUUUGCCUUUAACUGCCCUGGAAUAAUUUAUUUGCAAAAACUGCAAGAAUGAUCAUUCUGUACAAAAUACAUUUUUCUGUAGUCUCUCUAUUGUUAGUAUCAUGCUGACUGGAAUUUUUGUAAAAUUGUCCUUUAUGGUGCCACAGUAAUAAUGU